rnacentral:misc_RNA from 1 species
AAACCUCAACCCCUCGGGUUUUGUAACCUGGGUGGGUUUGGACUUGGGUGUCUGCCGGACUUUGGUCUGGCUCACCUCAAAUGAGUUAGUGGGACAGCGAACCCAUGGCUUGACGUAAUAAGUUUCGUCUGAGCCUGGUCGUGGUGCCUGCUUACAACAACCAUAUCUUAUGA